UACGGAGGGGGCAAGCGUUGUUCGGAAUUACUGGGCGUAAAGGGCGCGCAGGCGGCUGCUCAAGUCAGGCGUGAAAGGCCUGGGCUCAACCCGGGAAUUGCGCUUGAGACUGGGCUGGCUUGAGUGCGGGAGAGGAUGGUGGAAUUCCCAGUGUAGAGGUGAAAUUCGUAGAUAUUCGGAGGAACACCAGUGGCGAAGGCGGCUCACUGGACCAUUACUGACGCUGAGGUGCGAAAGCGUGGGGAGCAAACAGG
rnacentral:rRNA from 1 species